rnacentral:tRNA from 1 species
GGCUAGAUAGCUCAGUUGGUAGAGCAAAGGACUGAAAAUCCUUGUGUCGAUGGUUCGAUUCCAUCUCUAGCCACCA